AAGAGUGGAAUCCCCACCCGAGGACUCUUGCGACGUGAAUACAAUUUAUAUACAACUUGAACAAAAAACAAGCAUGACAUUCACAUACAUGUACACCAAAAAAUAACACUUUAUUUAUAAGUAAAACGUAUCCACAUUUAGCAAAAUAUUAAAAGUUCAUAUGAUCAUAUACAAAGCUAUUACUUUUAAAGUAUUUUUUACUGAU
rnacentral:lncRNA from 1 species